AAAAUAAAAGGCUGGGACCGAAGGAGCCAUGGGAUCUAUUUUUUCUCUAGAGUUUGACGGAAGGUGAAGUCGUGCUGGGAAACUGCAGGCUCCUCCUCUGAGCUCCAUCUUCUGACUAUUAGCUGACACCCUUUUCUCCAAGGAGGAGACUGGGGGUUUUCCUGCUUUCUGUUCCUUGCCCUUCCUUUUCAUCUCACCCGCAUCAGAGCUUGAGUUGUCUGGGUACUACCAGGAGCUGUAGGAUCAGGGGCCCAAGCUUCUCUCCUGGCCUAACGCAGCUGCCUUUCCCCGGGGGCGCUGCAGGAAUUGGACUGGCUUGGCACUUGCUCUCCGGUUCAGGCCUCAAGUCGUAAGACACUGUGCUCUGAUAAAGGGGGUGCCUUCCUCCAGCUGCUCCUUUUUACCAGCUUUACUGAGGAGUAAUUGACAUACAGAUAACCACCCGUGUUUACAGUGUACUCCUUGAGAAGCUCUGACGAAUGAACACACCUGUGAAACCACC
rnacentral:lncRNA from 1 species